rnacentral:lncRNA from 10 species
CUUUUGGCUGGCAGCCAAGUUGGGCGUCAUUUUACAAUGAUUACAAGGGAAAAGAGGAGAAAUGAUAACGAAGCCGUGUUAAUCCAUGCUGAAACAGUAUGGAGUCACACGGUCCCCCUGUCAACACACCCAGGGAAGAGCCCAGCCAGGACCACCACACAAAUCUAAGAUUUAAGACCUGGUUGGGCCACUCACCAGCUCUGUGACUUGGGACCAGAAACAUUCUCCCUGGAGCUUUAAUCACCGAAGCAUAAGAGUACUCAUUCCAUGAAGCCAUUGGGAGGGUUAAAUAAGAUCAUGCAUUUAAGCACUCUUACACUGGCGCAUAAUACAUGCUAGUUAUGGUUAUUAUUAGAAAUGUGUUCUAACCUUUUCCUCUAAGUUUCAGGAGGGUGGGACCCACGUGUUCAUCUCAUUUACUACUGUAUACCCAACAGUAGUAAACCUGGCAUGUGGCAGGGAUUUAACAAAUAUUUGUAGGGGACAAUCUGCUUGUUCUCAUUUUUUUCCUCUGGUCAGUGACAAAGUGUUUUUCUGCAUCUAUCUCUGUCAUUUUUUGGUCAAGUGGUUUAUAAUUAUAGACAUCAUGACCCUUCAUCCUUAAAUAUUUCACUGUGUCUCUAAAAAAUAAGGACAUUUUCUUUAUAAUGAUAUCAUAUCCAAAAUUAAUAAUUUGUAAAUAUAUAACACCUACACGGUACUCAAAGUUCUUCAAUAAUUCCCCAAAAUAUCCUAUUACAGCUCAUUUCCUUAUGCCAGCUUUAUUCCUUGACUGAAUAAAGGAUCAAAACUACAUUCGGUGAUUAGGUCUUUUAAGUCUCUUUUGAUCUAAAAAUAGCACCUCCACUCCUUUUUGCUUUCUAUGACAUUGACUUAUUGAAGAUACAGCUGUCCCUCAGUAUCCAUGGGUGAUCAGUUCCAGGAUGCCUGAGGAUACCAAAAUCUGAGGAUGCUCAAGUCCCUUAUAUCAAAUAGUGUAGUAUUUGCAUGUACCCUACACAUAUCCUCCCAUAUAUGUACUUCAAAUCAUUUCCAGGUUACUUAUAGUACUUAAUACAAUGUAAAUGCUGUAUAAAUAGUUAUUGUAUUGCUUUUUAAUUUGCAUUAUUGUUUUUAUUUUUAGUAUUUCUGAUGCAGAGUUGGUGGAAUCCACAGAUACAGAAAACUGACCGUACUGUAGAAUGUCCCACUUUUUUGAUUUGCCUGAUUGAUUUACCACUGAGGUGAUGCCUAACAAAUUCCUGUCUCCCCUGUAUUUCCCAUGAGAUGGAAAUUAAUUCUACAGUCUUGAUGUGAUUCAGGUAAAACCUUGUUAUCCAGAAAACCUCAUAGAUGAUGCUAUGUACUUUAGCACUGUAUCACACAAGGAGGGAUGUCAUGUCAAGUUGGCCUAUUAUCAGUGACACUGGGCUUGAUCACUGGAUUAAAAUGGUGAUGGCUUGCCUGAUCCCUUUAUUGCAAAGUUAAGGGUUUUCUCCUCUUGGAACUAGCAGAUAAACUGGGGCGGUAGUUGAUGCCCUGUAAAUAUGUAGCUCACCAUUAACCUCUCACCAGCUGAUCUUACAACCACUGAUGGUCUUUGCCUGAAUCAAUCAUCCCAUAGGGGUUGCAGAAUGGUGAUUUUCCAAUCCCAUCAUUCCUUCUUCACUUAUUAGCGUGCACUCUUCUGUAAAAGAGCUUUCCUUCAUCAACUGGGCUAUUUAGUUACCCUGAAAUAUAUAGCUCCUAGGGAAAAGACAGGUUAUGUACUCGUAACUCUUUCCCCUGCAUAACCCAUUUUUAAAAUAAGUUAUUGGUAAAUAGCAUAUUUUAAAUCCUGGGGUAAAAAGGUUUUUCUCUCUCCUCUGGCUCCAAUAAUUGUUUUAGCAUGAGCCUGGGAAAGGGUUUGGGGCCAGAAGUGUGAGAUUACUUCCCAUUCUGCUUAGUGGGAAGAAAUCACACCUCCCAUUUUACCCCCUCUAUGACUCAGAUUCCUUCUCAAGUUAGCUGAUCCUAAGUCCUAAGAUUAAAAGUUACGGUUUCUCAGCAGAUCCUGGUUAUAUGAUUUAUAAAUUUGGUGCUAAUCUUUCCUCUGUCAUUGGAGGUAUCUCAUAACAUGAUUUUUCCAAUGCUUCCCUAGGAAGAGUAUUUAUUCCACAAACUGAUGGAAUUCAGUGGCAUGUAUUUCUCUCUUUGACUGCAAAUUUUAUUUUAAGCGUUCCAGUGAGAACUCUUAAUUCUGAAACCUCAAAUCAGAGUAAAUAACUCCCCUCCUUCUCACUGACUACACCAUUUACACGUGGCUGGGCCCACUGCUAGCAUAAAACCUCAACUCUCUGCCCAGCCGAGCAGCAUACACUGCUCUGAGCUCUUUAAUAUGUCCUCAUAAAUCCAGCUCCUCUCACUGCCCUCGGAUUCCCUGUACCUCUACAUUUCCUCCCCAAUAACUGAGCUCAGCACGGCUGCAAUGUGGUGCUCCCUUCCUGAAAUCAGAUGCAGAGUAUUCUACCCUCUCUUUGACCCCUUUGCCUCCAUGCUGCAACAUAAGCUCCCAUCUAAUUGCUGCUCUGCCUCUCUCAGCAGAACCUGACCUCUUUCUGGGUCCCUCUCUUAAAGCAACUGUCUGUGUUUUUCAUUAUGUUUGCCAAGACAUAUUAUCUUGAACUUUUCCCAGAUGAAGCUCGUUUUUUUACUUUUUCUUCAGACCCCUGAGGUGGCAGGUUCAAGAAUGCAGUCUUCAGAGGGAAGCUUUUGGUCUAGGAGGCUUCAGCCAGGACAGUUCAGUUAAUCAUACUCUCCCUCCGGGUACUGCCCCUUUAAGAAGUGGACAGACUCUGGUUCCAACUCCAAACCUCAGUUAGAAGUUCAAGCCACAAGACGAACACACAUGUCCUGCCCAGAAAGCUGCCCAGCCUUGCUGUUGACUUUCUCCUGACAGCUUGUCAUCCACAUACCCAUCCCACGCAAACGCAAACAUAUCCUUUUAAACAUCGAAGUCUCAAAGCCUCCCCCAUGAAAAGGAAGUUGAAAGUCAAGUUCCGGGCACCCUCGGCUUCUGUAGUUUGACCAGUAACCUGGUAAGAAGGGGCACCUCCUUUGACAACCCGAGUGUGCCCAACAAUGCCAAUGAGAAUUCUUUAAUGAUCACUCGGAAGAUGUCAUCUCUGUGUCUCAGCGAAUCCUUCUCUUAAAAAGAAAAGCACUCAUGAGACUGGAAGAAGAGGGGGAAAACUCAGAGUGAUAAGAAUGCUAAUCAGAACGAAGGGAAUUUUCCAGCUUUUAGCUUUCCUAGCAAAAAAAAAAAAAAAGGCAUCUAUAAAAAAGUGUUGGAAGGCUUUUCUUGCAGCCUGGGGCCUUUGCCAGGGAACAGAUUUCUCUCCCUCAACUCAGUUUCUUCCAGACCUUUUUCCUGUGCAUUCUUUUUUCUUUCUUCUUCUUUCUCUUCUCUCUUAGCGGAGCCUCCUCCGGCUGAGAAGUAAUCUGUGGGGAGCCCGAGGGGUCUGUACUGUUCAGGCCCUGGAAAGAGAUGAAGGUAACUGCCUGCUGAUAGGGGCACUGCACCAUUUGGGAUUGCAGUAGGGAGACCCCACUCCUCAACUGGAGGGAUUCAUAGAGGUCACACCCAGGGCUUCCUUGCUGCUUUUUCUGUCACCUCCCAUGCUGUUUUCUUCCCUUCGGUGUAAGCCAGCCCUCUCUUUUUGUGGUAAGAUGACUAUGGGAGUCCCAGGCUGGAGGCUGACUCUUUGCACCCACUUCCCACACUUGUUUCUGACAAGUCUGAUCUGUGUAGCUCAGCACAUCCAAGGACAGCCUUCCCCUUGGCUUCGUUGUCCAGAUGCAUGACCCCAAUGGCUUUGUAAAUGAAAUGGUAUAAUCUCAAGAGGCUAGCCUCAUUCUGAGACUUUUCUUCCUUGGCCUGUGCUGUCAGCGUGGCAGAGCCUCCGUACACAGGGAGGCCACUUGGCAGGAUGAAGACUAGCGCUAAAGUGAAGCUAUCGCCUCAGCAUGGCUGGAAAUUUCCAUCAACAGGCACCCAACAAGUACUUAUCCGACAUCUCCUAAGGUAGCGGUUUUCUACCUUGGCUGUGUAUUAAAAUUAUCUGGGAAGCUCUUAAAACUUCCAAAACCUGGGCAAAGCAACGAAACCAGGUCUCAGGCAUCAGUACCUGCCAAAAGCUUCCCAGGUG